rnacentral:snRNA from 1 species
UCUGAAGUUUUUAGUUGCUGUUUU